UUCUCCCUCCCCCUCUCUCUCUUAUUCUACGGCUCUCUUUUAUAACAGAAAAAGAAUGUUCUCCAAAUCCAUUCCAAAAUUUCUGUAUCUUUUCUCUUUCUCCUUCCUCCCUAACUCAAAGACGAAUCUAAUGAAAUAGUAGUUGGUCAGUUUACCCAAAAAAUAUAGUAAAAGUAUUGGUCUGGAAUGUGAAUAUGAGAUAAAAUGGUACAAGUGAAUGCAAUAUAUAAUCUUGAAAUUGA
rnacentral:lncRNA from 1 species